rnacentral:rRNA from 1 species
UACGUAGGGUGCAAGCGUUGUUCGGAAUUACUGGGCGUAAAGAGCGUGUAGGCGGCCAACUAAGUCCUGCGUGAAAUCUCGGGGCUCAACCCCGAGCGGUCGUGGGAAACUGGUUGGCUAGAGUGCGGGAGAGGAGAGUGGAAUUCCUGGUGUAGCGGUGAAAUGCGCAGAUAUCAGGAAGAACACCCGUGGCGAAGGCGGCUCUCUGGAACGCAACUGACGCUGAGACGCGAAAGCGUGGGGAGCGAACAGG